UACGUAGGGAGCAAGCGUUGUUCGGAUUUACUGGGCGUAAAGGGCGCGUAGGCGGUCAGCACAAGUCAGUUGUGAAAUCUCCGGGCUUAACUCGGAAAGGUCAACUGAUACUGUGCGACUAGAGUGCAGAAGGGGCAACUGGAAUUCUCGGUGUAGCGGUGAAAUGCGUAGAUAUCGAGAGGAACACCAGUGGCGAAGGCGGCUCACUGGACCGGCAUUGACGCUGAGGUGCGAAAGCGUGGGGAGCAAACAGG
rnacentral:rRNA from 1 species